UACGUAGGGUGCGAGCGUUGUCCGGAAUUAUUGGGCGUAAAGAGCUCGUAGGCGGCCACCGCAAGUCGACUGUGAAAUCUCCGGGCUUAACCCGGAAAGGUCAGCCGAUACUGCGGGGCUAGAGUGCAGAAGGGGCAACUGGAAUUCUCGGUGUAGCGGUGAAAUGCGCAGAUAUCAGGAGGAACACCAAUGGCGAAGGCAGCUCGCUGGAACGGUACUGACGCUGAGGCGCGAAAGCGUGGGAGCGAACAGG
rnacentral:rRNA from 1 species